GACGUAGGGGGCAAGCGUUAUCCGGAUUCACUGGGCGUAAAGGGCGUGUAGGCGGUUACGUAAGUCCGGCGUGAAAACUCACGGCUCAACUGUGAACCCGCGUCGGAUACUGCGUUGACUUGAGGGCGGUAGAGGCAGAUGGAACUAGCGGUGUAGCGGUGAAAUGCACAGAUAUCGCUAGGAACGCCGGUGGCGAAGGCGAUCUGCUGGGCCGUUCCUGACGCUCAUGCGCGAAAGCUAGGGGAGCGAACCGG
rnacentral:rRNA from 1 species